GCUUGUCUCAAAGAUUAAGCCAUGCAUGUCUAAGUAUAAGCACCCUUAUACUGCGAAACUGCGUACAGCUCAUUAUAUCAGCAAUUAUUUAUUUGAAGGUCACCUAUUACAUGGAUAACCGUGGUAAUUCUAGAGCUAAUACAUGCUAAAAAUCCCGACUUCGGAAGGGAUGUAUUUAUUAGAUUAAAAACCAAUGCCCUUCGGGGCUCACUGGUGAUUCAUGAUAACUUCACGGAUCGCACGGCCUUGCGCCGGCGAUGGUUCAUUCAAAUUUCUUCCCUAUCAACUUUCGAUGUUUGGGUCUUGGCCAAACAUGGUUGCAACGGGUAACGGAGGGUUAGGGCUCGACCCCGGAGAAGGAGCCUGAGAAACGGCUACUACAUCCAAGGAAGGCAGCAGG
rnacentral:rRNA from 1 species